UACACUGCAUCUCCUCCCUCCUUCCCCAAAUCGGCAGCCAUCAACCACCACCCUACCACCAUCAUUCGAUCUUGUUCCAUCCAUUCUAUUACCAUACAAGGAUGCAAGGAGACACACAACGAAGCUUGGUGCGUGCGGAAGUCGAAGGACCGCUCUCGUUUUCUUUUAUCCACCACUUUUCUACACUCGAACUCCCCUAGCCUUGUGCUAGUAGUAAGUUCCUUAGAUCUUCAUCUUGUUCAUGUUUUUAUGUAGUUAAUGAUGUUAAAGAUCAAAAAGAAUGGAAAUCCUAAUGAACAUAAACAAGUCUUGAAGUGUAACUAACUAAAGAUAGAGUAUGGUUAAAGUAGUUAAAAUGAUGAAUGAAAUAUGAUAUUGCUUGAUAAAUCUGAUGAAAAUAAGUAAUAAUUUGUUGUAAUUAUUGUUUUGAUCGCUAAACAUGUUAACGAAAUCAAUUGAACGCACUUUAAGAUGAUAAAAGACUGAAAACAGCAUGCUGAUCUGCUUUUCCAGCCACCUUUAACUGGCUGUAACUGCAUCGUAACUUAACAAAAACUUUAUUUUCUUAAGUCUAUAAUGUGCUAUUAUAAAAUACGGUUCUAAUGACACCGAAAUCGUAAUUUUUGGACCCCGUUUACUAUUUUUAAAGUGUUUCUCCGUAAUAGCAGCUUAAGCUGAAUUUUUCUGCUGAAAAUGUGCGUCCUGUUUUCAGUCAUAACCUGGAAUCUGUGUAGGAUUAGAUCAUGAAACUUAUACUGUAGAUGGUCACUGUUGUCGCCGUGAUCCUCCAACUGGAAUUACGUCAAUCGGACUUACGAAUAAUUUUUAGUAAAUUAUUUCGUAGACUGCAAUCAGAAAGUAACAAAUCUGAUUGCAGUCUAGAAAAUGAAUUUUUAUAAAAUAUUGGUAGUAAAACAGAAGUGACAUAAGUAGUAAUUGCAUGCCAAAGUGUGGUUUUUUUAUUAUUAAAAAUCAUUCUUAUUUAAUUUAGGGCGGAUAAACAAUUGAGGGAUUGUGUUAACGUUUAAAAACGCACCCAAAGGUGAGUACAUAGUUCCCCUAUUUUACUGUUUUCAAUUGUUUUGGGGUGAUUCAUAUGUAUCAAAAUGAUUUCAAUGUUUUAACGAUGGUUUCACAACGAGUAAGAUGGUUUAUAUUAAACUAAUAACGAUUUCGAUAAUGUGAACGAGCUUGUUGGUUGUAAUUACAUAACAAAUGACAUUCAUUAAUUUCGGCCAAACCGACCAGUAUUAGGUUAUGGUACCAUAGGAUCCGACAAAUCCCGUUAUCAGACUGGACCCAUGGUUAUGUGUGGGUUAGGUGGGUAACGACCGAAUCUGAUGAUUGUUAACUUACCCUUUGGUGGUUUGUUAAUACGAGAACAAGUGGAACGAUGAACGAGUCACAAAGGUUUGAAUGUUGUUAACGAGACGACCAAAAGUAGUUUCACAAUCUAAAACGAGAAUGAUUUAAACGACUAAAGAGAUGUUUAACUAAUUAAACGAUCUGGGUAAACGAUUGGAAGCGAUGUCACACAAACGAGGUCUUCGAAACGAUAUAAACUAUACGAAUUUUAUUACGAAAAUGAUUUACGAUUUGGUUUACGAAAAGCAAAUGUUUUGGGUAAAGAUUCAUGGUCUCGAGGUUUACAAAUUAUAACCAAACUAUUUUGAUUCGGUUAUUCAUUUUACGACACAAAUAUUUUACAAAAACAAGAUUUCUAAUGUCGAUUAACGAAGUUAUACGAGUUAUUUCGACAUGCAAAUGAGCCAUGAAUCUGACACUCACGCAAAACCUAUGUGAAGUUGCUUAGUGUUGAUUGCGAAUAGGAAGCAUGCUCACUUAGGACCGGACGAGGCCUUAGUGAUUUAAUAAUGAUAUUAGUCUAUGUUUGAUUUGCUUGUUUAACUUUAAAACAAUGUUUAAUAUUUAAUGAAAUGAAACUCUUCGUAUCCAUGGUUUGAAACAAUAAUUCUGUUACAACACUCCCCGGCGUUUCCGCCACGAUUUGUCGUUUUACGUGGUCGGGGUGUGACAGAAGAGUUGGUAUCAGAGCCAAUGGUUAUAGAGAAUUAGGUUAUUAGUAAAAAUUUCGACCUAGACUAUAACUUUCUAGGACCCCAACGCAAGUUGAUUUGCAUUUAG
rnacentral:lncRNA from 1 species